rnacentral:rRNA from 1 species
UACGGGGGGGGCAAGCGUUGUUCGGAAUUACUGGGCGUAAAGGGCGCGUAGGCGGCUGUGCAAGUCAGAUGUGAAAGCCCUGGGCUCAACCCAGGAUGUGCAUUUGAUACUGCACGGCUAGAGUGUCGGAGAGGAUGGUGGAAUUCCCAGUGUAGAGGUGAAAUUCGUAGAUAUUGGGAAGAACACCGGUGGCGAAGGCGGCGAUCUGGGUCGAUACUGACGCUGAGGUGCGAAAGCGUGGGGAGCAAACAGG